GACGAACGCUGGCGGCGUGCUUAACACAUGCCAGUCGAACGGAAAGGCCCUGCUUUUGUGGGGUUCUCGAGUGGCGAACGGGUGAGUAACACGUGAGUAACCUGCCCUUGACUUUGGGAUAACUUCAGGAAACUGGGGCUAAUACCGGAUAGGAGCUCCUGCUGCAUGGUGGGGGUUGGAAAGUUUCGGCGGUUGGGGAUGGACUCGCGGCUUAUCAGCUUGUUGGUGGGGUAGUGGCUUACCAAGGCUUUGACGGGUAGCCGGCCUGAGAGGGUGACCGGCCACAUUGGGACUGAGAUACGGCCCAGACUCCUACGGGAGGCAGCAGUGGGGAAUAUUGCACAAUGGGCGGAAGCCUGAUGCAGCAACGCCGCGUGCGGGAUGACGGCCUUCGGGUUGUAAACCGCUUUCGCCUGUGACGAAGCGUGAGUGACGGUAAUGGGUAAAGAAGCACCGGCUAACUACGUG
rnacentral:rRNA from 1 species